rnacentral:rRNA from 1 species
UACAGAGGUCUCAAGCGUUGUUCGGAUUCAUUGGGCGUAAAGGGUGCGUAGGCGGCUCAGUAAGUCGGGUGUGAAACCUCCAGGCUCAACCUGGAGACGCCACCUGAUACUGCUGUGGCUGGAGUCCGGUAGGGGAGCGUGGAAUUCCUGGUGUAGCGGUGAAAUGCGCAGAUAUCAGGAGGAACACCCAGGGGGAAACCAGCCGACUGGGCAUCUGCUGACGCUGAGGUGCGAGAGCGUGGGGAGCGAACCGG